rnacentral:misc_RNA from 1 species
GAAGAGCAUGCAAAAUUGUUAAGGAUACAACAUGAGAUUGAGGUGAAUACAAAACAGGCCAUCUUUAUGGAUUCAAGUAUAAGUGAUACAAUUCGUACAUGCAUUGUGCUGGGUAACCAUCGUGGUGCCAAUAGAGUCAAAACAGAAUUUAAGGUAUCUGAAAAGCGAUGGUAUUGGCUUAAAGUUUUUGCUCUGGCAACAAUUAGGGAUUGGGAUG